rnacentral:rRNA from 1 species
CCUACGGGCGGCAGCAGUGGGGAAUAUUGCGCAAUGGGCGAAAGCCUGACGCAGCGACGCCGCGUGAGGGAUGAAGGUCUUCGGAUUGUAAACCCCUGUCAGCCGGGAAGCACGGUCACUGUGCUAAUCAGCAGUGAAUUGACGGUACCUGCAAAGGAAGCACCGGCUAACUCCGUGCCAGCAGCCGCGGUAAUACGGAGGGUGCGAGCGUUAAUCGGAAUUAGUGGGCGGAAAGCGCUCGUAGGCGGUAUGUCAAGCCAAGGGUGAAAUCCCCGCGCUCAACGUGGGAGCUGCCUUUGAAACUGGAGAACUGGAGUGUGUGAGAGGAUAGUGGAAUUCCAGGUGUAGGAGUGAAAUCCGUAGAUAUCUGGAGGAACAUCAGUGGCGAAGGCGACUAUCUGGCACAUAACUGACGCUGAGGAGUGAAAGCGUGGGUAGCAAACAGGAUUAGAUACCCGUGUAGUC